GUAGGCUUGGAGCAGACUGAGCAAUUCUGAUUGAAUUAGUUAGAAGAAUCAGCCAAUACCAGAGGCUGAAUUCUGGAGGGCUUCCUGUUUCUAACAAGGUCGUUAUUUCCACACAGGGCAUCUCCAUUGUUACACAGCUGCAUAGAUAUUCCAUGACACUCUGUACCUAAAACAUAGAUAUACAACUUUGAUGGACCAACAUUCCUGUUUUAACCUAACUUUAAAUACCAAAAUGCUUCAGAAUCAGUAAUAGCCCCCAUGCUGUAAGAAGUCCAAGCCGCAUACAAAAGCAAUAUGAAAGAAAAUGAAGCACUCCCGUGAACACCCCCAGAGCAGCUCCCAGUCAGGAAUCAGCAUCAACUGCCAAGCCAUGUGAAUGUGCAAUUUCAGAAAUUCAGCCUGAGGCUCUAGAUGAUGGCAACCGCAUGAAACCUCAUGUAGAGUGGAAGAACUGCUCAGUUGAGUCCAG